rnacentral:lncRNA from 1 species
UGCUAUUAUCCUUGGCAGCGUGCCUUCUUCUCCAUUUUUCUUCCUAUUUAAAAGCCAAGAGGAUCAGGUCAUUUGCUUAUGAAGAUAGGGUUUCAUGGUAUUAUGGCUAUCUUCCUACUUUCUAAAAUUAUCUUUUUCUUGAUUUGAUUCCCUGUUUCCUAGUUGUAAUGGGAUCCUCUUUUAAAUUUGAAAGCACACCAGGUUAUC